AAAUUGAUGAGGCAAAAGAAAUUAUGGUAAUCAACCACAGUGAGGAGUGAGAUAUGAUUGGCCUACACACGAGAGGAUUUAUAAGGAAAGAGAGUUUCGUCUAAGCACGAGAGGUCUUAUAAGACGAGCAAUGAAUAAGGAAUGUUUGGCCUACACACGAGAGGAUUUAUAAGGAAAAAGAGCUUUUUCUAAGUAGGAAAUGUCUUAUAAUACGAGCAAAGAAUAAUGAAUGAUCGGCCUACACACG
rnacentral:lncRNA from 1 species